ACCUCCAAUCAGUCAAGAAUACCCGCUGAAUUUAAGCAUAUAACUAGGCGGAGGAAAAGAAACUAACCAGGAUUCCCUCAGUAACUGCGAGUGAAGCGGGAAAAGCUCAGACUGAAAAUCUUCGGAAUUGUAGUCUGGAGAAGUAUGGUCAGCAGAUGAUGAUAGGUAAAGUCUUCUGGAAAGGAGCGCCUUGGAGGGUGAUAGCCCCGUUCAUACCCAUCAUUAGAAGCGUACGACCUACUUUCUACGAGUCGAGUUGUUUGGGACUGCAGCUCAAAGUGGGUGGUAAAUUCCAUCUAAAGCUAAAUAUUGGUGGGAGACCGAUAGCGUACAAGUACCGUGAGGGAAAGAUGCAAAGAACUUUGAAAAGAGAGUUAAAUAGUACCUGAAAUUGCUGAAAUGGAACCGAUAGGAGGCAGUGUCGGUGUCGUAUACUUGUAUGCGGCACAAGUCGGGCUUCUUUUCUGGCGCGGGAAAGGUUGGUGGACCAGUUUGGGCCAUCUAUGCCGUCGUGCCGGGGAAGGACUUCGACGAAAUGCCUCUUAUCACCCCGUCUUGGAACACGGACCAAGGAGUCUAAC
rnacentral:rRNA from 1 species